GACGAACGCUGGCGGCGUGCUUAACACAUGCAAGUCGAACGGAAAGGCCCUGCUUUUGUGGGGUGCUCGAGUGGCGAACGGGUGAGUAACACGUGAGUAACCUGCCCUUGACUUUGGGAUAACUUCAGGAAACUGGGGCUAAUACCGGAUAGGAGCUCCUGCUGCAUGGUGGGGGUUGGAAAGUUUCGGCGGUUGGGGAUGGACUCGCGGCUUAUCAGCUUGUUGGUGGGGUAGUGGCUUACCAAGGCUUUGACGGGUAGCCGGCCUGAGAGGGUGACCGGCCACAUUGGGACUGAGAUACGGCCCAGACACGUAUGGGAGGCAGAAGUCGGGAAUAUUGCACCAUGGGCGGAAGCCUGAUGCAGCAACGCCGCGUGCGGGAUGACGGCCUUCGGGUUGUAAACCGCUUUCGCCUGUGACGAAGCGUGAGUGACGGUAAUGGGUAAAGAAGCACCGGCUAACUACGUG
rnacentral:rRNA from 1 species